rnacentral:rRNA from 1 species
AUUGAACGCUGGCGGCAUGCUUUACACAUGCAAGUCGAACGGCAGCACGGGCUUCGGCCUGGUGGCGAGUGGCGAACGGGUGAGUAAUAUAUCGGAACGUACCCAGAAGUGGGGGAUAACGUAGCGAAAGUUACGCUAAUACCGCAUACGAUCUAUGGAUGAAAGCAGGGGACCGCAAGGCCUUGUGCUCCUGGAGCGGCCGAUAUCUGAUUAGCUAGUUGGUGAGGUAAAGGCUCACCAAGGCGACGAUCAGUAGCUGGUCUGAGAGGACGACCAGCCACACUGGAACUGAGACACGGUCCAGACUCCUACGGGAGGCAGCAGUGGGGAAUUUUGGACAAUGGGCGCAAGCCUGAUCCAGCAAUGCCGCGUGAGUGAAGAAGGCCUUCGGGUUGUAAAGCUCUUUUGUCAGGGAAGAAACGGUAGAGGCUAAUAUCCUCUGCUAAUGACGGUACCUGAAGAAUAAGCACCGGCUAACUACGUG